rnacentral:rRNA from 1 species
GUGGGGAAUCUUGCGCAAUGGGCGAAAGCCUGACGCAGCCAUGCCGCGUGAAUGAUGAAGGUCUUAGGAUUGUAAAAUUCUUUCACCGGGGACGAUAAUGACGGUACCCGGAGAAGAAGCUCCGGCUAACUUCGUGCCAGCAGCCGCGGUAAUACGAAGGGGGCUAGCGUUGCUCGGAAUUACUGGGCGUAAAGGGCGCGUAGGCGGACAGUUUAGUCAGAGGUGAAAGCCCAGGGCUCAACCUUGGAAUUGCCUUUGAUACUGGCUGUCUUGAGUACGGGAGAGGUGAGUGGAACUCCGAGUGUAGAGGUGAAAUUCGUAGAUAUUCGGAAGAACACCAGUGGCGAAGGCGACUCACUGGCCCGUUACUGACGCUGAGGCGCGAAAGCGUGGGGAGCAAACAGGAUUAGAAACCCGUGUAGUCC